rnacentral:rRNA from 1 species
UACGGAAGGCAGCAGGGGGAAUAUUGCACAAUGGGCGCAAGCCUGAUGCAGCCAUGCCGCGUGUAUGAAAAAGGCCUUCGGGUUGUAAAGUACUUUCAGUCGUGAGGAAGGUGUUAAGGUUAAUAACCUUAGCAAUUGACGUUAGCGACAGAAGAAGCACCGGCUAACUCCGUGCCAGCAGCCGCGGUAAUACGGAGGGUGCGAGCGUUAAUCGGAAUUACUGGGCGUAAAGGGCACGCAGGCGGUUAAUUAAGUUGGAUGUGAAAUCCCCGGGCUUAACCUGGGAAUGGCAUUCAAGACUGGUUAGCUAGAGUCUUGUAGAGGGGGUAGAUUCCAUGUGUAGCGGUGAAAUGCGUAGAGAUGUGGAGGAAUACCGGUGGCGAAGGCGGCCCCUGGACAAAGACUGACGCUCAUGUGCGAAAGCGUGGGGAGCAAACAGGGAUUAGAUA